CCUACGGGAGACAGCAGUGAGGAAUAUUGGUCAAUGGGCGCGAGCCUGAACCAGCCAAGUAGCGUGAAGGAUGACUGCCCUACGGGUUGUAAACUUCUUUUAUAAAGGAAUAAAGUGAGGCACGUGUGCCUUUUUGUAUGUACUUUAUGAAUAAGGAUCGGCUAACUCCGUGCCAGCAGCCGCGGUAAUACGGAGGAUCCGAGCGUUAUCCGGAUUUAUUGGGUUUAAAGGGAGCGUAGAUGGGUUGUUAAGUCAGUUGUGAAAUUUUGCGGCUCAACCGUAAAAUUGCAAUUGAUACUGGCAGGCUGGAGUACAGUUGAGGUAGGCGGAAUUCGUGGUGUAGCGGUGAAAUGCUUAGAUAUCACGAAGAACUCCGAUUGCGAAGGCAGCUUACUAAACUGCAACUGACAUUGAUGCUCGAAAGUGUGGGUAUCAAACAGGAUUAGAUACCCCGGUAGUC
rnacentral:rRNA from 1 species